UGAGGAAUAUUGGUCAAUGGACGAGAGUCUGAACCAGCCAAGUAGCGUGAAGGAUGACUGCCCUAUGGGUUGUAAACUUCUUUUAUAUGGGAAUAAAAGGGGGUUCGUGAACCCCGUAUUGUAUGUACCGUCAGAAAAAGGACCGGCUAAUUCCGUGCCAGCAGCCGCGGUAAUACGGAAGGUCCGGGCGUUAUCCGGAUUUAUUGGGUUUAAAGGGAGCGUAGGCGGGCCGUUAAGUCAGUUGUGAAAGUUCGGGGCUCAACCCCGGAAUUGCAGUUGAAACUGCCGGUCUUGAGUACACGCAGGGAAGCCUGAAUUCAUGGUGUAGCGGUGAAAUGCUUAGAUAUCAUGAAGACGACCGAUCGCGAAGGCGGCUCUCUGGUCUGUAACUGACGCUGAGGCUCGAAAGCGUGGGGAGCGAACAGG
rnacentral:rRNA from 1 species